UGGAAACUCACUGCCGAGCCGGUAUUCGGAGCGGUGGUCAAGCUAACGCGUGAAGUUUCCCGCCUGGGGAUUACGCAUGCAAAUGUGAAACUCAAAGGAAUUGACGGGGACCCGCACAAGCGGUGGAGUAUGUGGUUUAAUUCGAUGCAACGCGAAAAACCUUACCAAGGUUUGAAAUCAUUUCAAAACUCCUUGAAAGAGGAGCCUCCUUCGGGAUGGAAUGACAGGUGGUGCAUGGCUGUCGUCAGCUCGUGUUGUGAAAUGUCAAGUUAAGUCUUGUAACGAGCGCAACCCAUGUCUUUUGUUGCUGUUUUACAGUGCUUAAAAGAGACUGCCGCUAUACAGCGGAGGAAGGUGUGGAUGAUGUCAAGUCAGCAUGCCCCUUAUAUCUUGGGCUACACACGUACUACAAUGGUAGGGACAAAGAGUCGCAAACCUGCGAAGGCUAGCCAAUCUCAUAAACCCUAUCUCAGUUCGGAUUGUACUCUGCAACUCGAGUACAUGAAGGUGGAAUCGCUAGUAAUCGCUGGUCAGCAUACAGCGGUGAAUACGUUCCCGGGUCUUGUACACACUGCCCGUCACACCAUGGAAGUCGAUCCUUCCCUAAGUCGUUACUCGAACCUUUAUGGACGAGGAUGCCGAAGGCAGGGUUGGUGACUGGGGUGAAGUCGUAACAAGGUAACC
rnacentral:rRNA from 1 species